CCGCGGCGGUCUCUUCAAAACCUGACCUUCCAGACUCUUCUUGUCUGCUGCGUAGACUCCCCAUGUUCACCCGUGCGCACUGUGCAGACUGUGGAGGAGCUCGUGUGGGGCCUCUUGGCUGCCCUGCAGGCGGACCCCACGAGGAAGGGACAGUGCGAGCAAAGAAAACUAUAAUUGGGAAGUCACACAGAGCGUUGGGUGUUGAGGGACGACCCGCUUCUGUCCAGGACCAUGGUUCCAGCCUCAUAUCUGAGCUUCAGCCGCCCAGACGCACACUGGGUUUCCUGGUAGCCCGUGGAGUACACAAUCUUGAUGGUGCCAUCGGGGUAUUCCCUCCUCUUGAAGCAGGACGUUUGAAUCUCCCUCUGCCCGUUGCUGAAGACAAUGGUUCUGUCGCCAUUCCUGACGGGGAAGAGUAGCCUGGUAGAAAGUCGUCAUCGAUCCCAGAGCAGCUUGGGCUUCUGAACGCCUUUGACCCUUAACUGUUGUCAACCUUCACUUCUGGUUUUCCACAGUGACUCGGGGUGUCAGAGCAGGAAAUGUGGUAAAGAUCCUGACUCCCUCCAUAGUGGCCUCCAUGGACAACACUGACUUACAACCUGAUGCAAGAGUUGCUGGCAGACAAGAGACAGCCCAAAUAUAUGUGAGAAAAAUAAAUGUGGUGACAAAUCUGACAACCGAAGAAAAAUUCUACCAUUAAAAUAGUUUUUAGCAAGAAACUACAAAAGCUUGUUUUCGUGCGGUAAUUGAUGGCCCGCCCAGAAGAAAUUGGGGGGCUCUUUGGAACAAGACUUUUGAACACUGAAUUCAUAGACUUCCCGGUACUACUCAAUGGACAAGUCUGCUGAUUUGUACGGAUUUACAAGAAUGCGUGCGUAACGCACAAGCACAUCUAUAAAAUGGCAGGAAAACGAGGCCUUCGGCUCUGCUCCCGAAAUGCCAAUCAUGGGUAGCAGUUUUGAAGGUACGGGACGUGCCUCCGAGGACAAUAAUAGGGCCUAGAAUUCCCACGGAGAGAGAAUGAAAUACGGAUCGUCAAAAUACCUUUCUCUUUUGGGAGACCUGAAUUAACCUCCAUCAGUCACCUGAGACGGCACGUGUGGACUAGCAGGUGUAAUGUUCCCUUCUCAAAACCUUGCGGAAGGUCCCUGAGGACAGCAAUUGCUCUGGGGUCCACCUCUCCGCUCACUUGCCGGGUCAGAGCCUAAAGGACAGGUCGUGACAGUAAAGACCCAACGUGACCCAACGAGAUACACAUGAGCGUCGCUGGAAAGCACGUCGAGGAGAACAUGAAUGCCCCUGGACCGUCCGUGAGGAUGUGUUUAACGAUGACCUUGACUCUCUCAGCACCCGGCAGGUCAGACGCUCUGGAAACGGCCACUGCCACGUAUCCAGUGAUGCUAAAUAAAAUAACACGGAAACCCAUGUAAACGAGCUCCCGCACUCCAGGCAAAGGCCACGCACGCACGGCAGCGGCCGCCGAGAAGCAGACGGAAGGGGAGCCUGAGCACGUGGUCUCCGCAUCCCAGGCUCCGCACCUGGUGGCUCUGCUGGUGAUCGGAGCUCAUCCCUGCUUACAGACGACACACACAGAGGUCGCUCCCCGGACACAAGGAUGAACUAGGAAACACCCACCCCGGGCAAGGGGAGCAACACCAGGAAAACUGCCCUCUUCUGAGCUUCCCGAAGAAUCUGAGUCCAGAUUGCCCCCAGACUAGACACCAGCCUGGAGGAGCCCCUGGAACCUCGGGCAGGAGCAGGCAUGGAGCUUUCUGGAUUGGCAGCCCCAAGCCGGGCCCCACCUGGGGAUGGCCACCCAAGGCAAG